rnacentral:ncRNA from 2 species
GGCGACCUUCGGGGCAGGGUGAGGUUUGCCGGCAAGAGCCGGCGGGCCAAUUCCCGACCGGCGGUGGGAUGCGACGGCGAGCGCCGCGCAUCAAGUCCGCGAGCCGCAAGGCUGAUCCGGUUCAAGUGGUGGAUCGCUAACGAUACUUUCGUUGCCAGAUCCGCCGCCCAGUCCGGAGCCGACGGUACAGUCCGGAUGGAAGAAGGUUUUC